AUUUUAAAAUAUAUAAUAAGAUUAAAGACAUAGUUUAGAGUCAUCGAAUAGGCAGAAAAUGGGCAGUCUUGGUCAGCCUAUUCACAAUGACCUAAAUGGCAUUUCGACCAUAAUAGUUCCUGGGUAAUUCGGUAAAAAAAAAUUCAUAAUCACGUGCUCCUAUUUUUAUUUGAGAAUCAGAAGACCUUGUAGCAAGUCACAAGGUCUAUGAUGUUUUGGCUUUAUCCGUUGACAAGUAAGGCAUUGGGAGAUGUAGUCAACUAUAUCGUUCUUCAUUCCUAGCUACCAAUAUUAUCGUUUCAAGUCUUGGUACAUCUUGGUACUUUCAAGAUGAAUGGAUAACUUGAAAGCAUGGGCAGUCUUGAGUACAUUGGUGCAUACUGCAUUGGAAACCCAAAUUCGGUUUCAGAAUCUAAACAAACGGUCAUAAGAACUCUUGAAAUCAAGAGAUUCAUCUGAACUUACCCAAGUUUUUAACGAGUUCUGGGUCCGUGGCCUGUGCUUCCUAGAUCUUCAUAAAAAGAUCCGACAGGGCUUGGAUCUAGGUGAGGUAGGUGCCU
rnacentral:lncRNA from 1 species